GAUGAACGCUGGCGGCGUGCCUAAUACAUGCAAGUCGAGCGAACGGACGAGAAGCUUGCUUCUCUGAUGUUAGCGGCGGACGGGUGAGUAACACGUGGAUAACCUACCUAUAAGACUGGGAUAACUUCGGGAAACCGGAGCUAAUACCGGAUGAUCUUUUGAACCGCAUUGUUCAAAAGUGAAAGACGGUCUUGCUGUCACUUAUAGAUGGAUCCGCGCUGCAUUAGCUAGUUGGUAAGGUAACGGCUUACCAAGGCAACGAUGCAUAGCCGACCUGAGAGGGUGAUCGGCCACACUGGAACUGAGACACGGUCCAGACUCCUACGGGAGGCAGCAGUAGGGAAUCUUCCGCAAUGGGCGAAAGCCUGACGGAGCAACGCCGCGUGAGUGAUGAAGGUCUUCGGAUCGUAAAACUCUGUUAUUAGGGAAGAACAUAUGUGUAAGUAACUGUGCACAUCUUGACGGUACCUAAUCAGAAAGCCACGGCUAACUACGUG
rnacentral:rRNA from 1 species